rnacentral:rRNA from 1 species
UACGUAGGGUGCGAGCGUUAAUCGGAAUUACUGGGCGUAAAGUGUGCGCAGGUGGCUUCGCAAGUCGAGUGUGAAAUCCCCGGGCUUAACCUGGGAAUUGCGCUCGAAACUACGGAGCUGGAGUGUGGCAGAGGAAGGUGGAAUUCCACGUGUAGCGGUGAAAUGCGUAGAGAUGUGGAGGAACACCAAUGGCGAAGGCAGCCUUCUGGGCCAACACUGACACUCAUGCAUGAAAGCGUGGGGAGCAAACAGG